rnacentral:rRNA from 1 species
GUCUAUGGCCAUACUACUCUGAACAUGCUUGAUCUCAGAAGUGGGCCUGGUUAGUACUUGGACUGCCCGGAAAUACCAGGUGCUAUAUACA